ensembl:lncRNA
GUUUAUUUGAAACUAAACAGAGUGCUCUUAACAUCCAUUUGCCUUCCGUGACCUUUUCUGGCUGAGCCGAUGUAUUCGCUGCAGUGUGAUGAAGAAGAAUCAGACAUUUAAGAUGGGGAGAGUACAUCAUAUCAUAUUUUUAAUCUUUUUGUAUUCUUUUCAAAAGCAACUAAAAACGGCAUUACUGUUCUCACUGUAUUGGCUGUACGUAUCAUUUUUUGCUUAAAAGACAACAAGCAUUAAGGACACCACAAAGGCAUUCAAUUCAUUUCAUUUUAAAACUCUGCAGCCGCUGGUUGGAAAACAAAACACAGAACAGGCCUGGACUGCUUUUCUUUUUUGUUUGUUUGUUUGUUUUUGUUUGUUUUCCUUCCCCCCUUCCCCCACUCCCCAAUCACACGUUCUGCAUUUGAUCCUUCAGUGGGGGGGGGAAAGAAAAAAAAAAUAGCCAGCGUCCUUUAAACUCUUCCAUAGGAAGGUCACAGCUCCACACCCUCCCCAAAAUCACAGUUAAGCUAAACAACAUUUUGGCAAGCAAAUUCCAAGGAUUUUAAAAACCUAGCUUUAAAACAGUGGGGUUGCAUUUAAUAAAAAAACAAACAAAACAAAAAAAACAACUAAAAACAUGAAAUUAAAAUAAAACAUUAAAAUAUCACCUACCAGUGAAAUCCUCUAUUGUGAGCCAUCUAUGAUGUACAUAACUGGCAUGAAACGUAAGAUCUUUUUUUUUUUCCUUUUUUUCUUUUCGGGCAACAGAACUGAGCAGGUCCUGUGGAAGCCGUUUGAAAUAAGUACAGAGAUGACAACUAUACAAAAUCUUUUUACCUACUGAGUGACGAUUAUGUUUCCUCAGUGUCCGUUUUCACUAGCUCAGGCUCAGUCCCAGUCUCGGCUUCUUCCUUCGGCGCGGUCUGUCCGCCGCCGCCGCCUGCAGCCACGAGCGGGGAAGCGGAAACUUCCGGGGCUUGCGUAUCGUUUAGGGGCUUGGCUGUGGGAGCGGGCGGG